CCGAUGCUAGAACUCCUUAAUUAAAUUCUGAAUAAAAGUUCCAUAUAUUUAGUAAACUUCCUUAAAGAUGGGCAGAUACACAGGCACCCACCCUGGUUUAGUUGGAGAGCAACGUUUAGCAAUAUAUAUUAUAGAAUUAAAUAUGUAAUAUUAUAGCUGAAAAACAGUGGAGCUUCCUUUUAUAAAUAUUACUAUAUAGCUCAGUGUUGAAGAUCAAGCAGAGGGCAUAUUAACAUAUGUAAUGUUACAUUGCUCUCCAGUCUCCAAUAAGACCUGGGGUGGGUCAUCUGUGCAGAUAAUGCUGUAUGCCAACUUUAUAGGCCAAAAUACAAAGAAAGAAUAUAUCUUUUUAUAUCCAUUAGUUACAUAUUUGUUUGAAAAUCAAGCAAAAAUGGUGUCAGAGUUACUACACAAUGCACACUUCCAGAAAAAUAUGUCACGCUCACUAUAGAGUCUGUAUUUUUGUGAUGAUUGAGACAUUAAUUGUGAUAUACACGACUACACAAGACUCUAUACUAUAGCCAAGUAUAGAAUUUUUCUAGUUUGUUUUUAUUAGAUAUGCCGGGCUUCUAUUAGAGAAGGAAAGUACAUCAGUACCCGGCAUAUCUAAUAAAAACAAACUACAAAAAUGUUAUACUAGCAACAAGAGUUUUGCCUUAUAAUAUCAAGGUCACAACUAAUUUAGUUAAAUUAAUUUUUGUCUUAUUGGCUUGUAUCUACAAGUGGUCAAGGUAUGUAUAGCAAAUGCAUUUCACAGGUAUUUAUACAAGCACUUUAUACAGCAGCAGUGAACACUAAAUCUUGGAAUGGGUUUUGAAAUUUAAUCUUUCUCCAUAUAAUUAUAUUUUUCACAAAUAUAUACUUUGAAGAAUAUUGUGUAUAUAUAUUCUUCAACAUGCCAUUACAGACCGGUUUAAUUAAAAACAGCUAUAUAUUUGCUCUAAAGUGGAUAUUGGGACAAAAUUAGACAAUUAUAUAGUAGACUAUAGACAAUCCUAUAUAUAUAUAUAUGCUGUACUAUUUACAACAUGAGCGGCCGUGUUGUAUCGGAUAUACAAACUCGAGCCAAAGGCGAGAGGUUGUAUAUCUGAUACAAUACGGACGCGAAAUAUGUUGUAAAUGGCUUAAAAAACGUCCAAUCUUAUGAGUUCAUUGGCGAAGUAAUUUUAAAAAUAAAUGUUGUCUAAGCCGAGAAAAUCAAAGUUAAAGUUUAUGUAAAUCAAUAUGAAUCUGUAUCACAUAUACAGAUACGACACGCUUAUGAUUUUUUCUUUGUGUUUUCGUCAUGAAUUAUUAAUGAGUUUUUUAAAUAAAGUAUACAUAUCCUCUUUGUUAAUUAUCAUU
rnacentral:lncRNA from 1 species